CCCGCCGGCGACCGGCGCACGGGUGAGUAACACGUAUGCAACCUGGCCGCCACAGGGGGAUAACCCGUGGAAACGCGGCCUAAUACCCCGUGACGCCACCGGAGGGCAUCCUCCGGUGGCCAAAGGAGCGAUCCGGUGGCGGAUGGGCAUGCGGCGCAUUAGCUAGACGGCGGGGUGACGGCCCACCGUGGCGACGAUGCGUAGGGGUUCUGAGAGGAAGGCCCCCCACACUGGGACUGAGACACGGCCCAGACUCCUACGGAAGGCAGCAG
rnacentral:rRNA from 1 species